UACGUAGGGCGCGAGCGUUGUCCGGAAUUAUUGGGCGUAAAGAGCUCGUAGGUGGCUUGUCACGUCGGGUGUGAAAGCUUGGGGCUUAACUCCAGGUCUGCAUUCGAUACGGGCUGGCUAGAGGUAGGUAGGGGAGAACGGAAUUCCUGGUGUAGCGGUGAAAUGCGCAGAUAUCAGGAGGAACACCGGUGGCGAAGGCGGUUCUCUGGGCCUUACCUGACGCUGAGGAGCGAAAGCGUGGGGAGCGAACAGG
rnacentral:rRNA from 1 species